rnacentral:rRNA from 1 species
GAUGAACGCUGUCGGCGUGCCUAAUACAUGCAAGUCGAGCGAACGGACGAGAAGCUUGCUUCUCUGAUGUUAGCGGCGGACGGGUGAGUAACACGUGGAUAACCUACCUAUAAGACUGGGAUAACUUCGGGAAACCGGAGCUAAUACCGGAUAAUAUUUUGAACCGCAUGGUUCAAAAGUGAAAGACGGUCUUGCUGUCACUUAUAGAUGGAUCCGCGCUGCAUUAGCUAGUUGGUAAGGUAACGGCUUACCAAGGCAACGAUGCAUAGCCGACCUGAGAGGGGGAGCGGCCCCACUGGAACUGAGACCCGGCCCAACACCCCACGGGAGGCAGCAGGAGGGAAUUUUCCCCAAUGGGCGAAACCCUGACGGAGCAACCCCGGGUGGGUGAAGAGGGUUUUCGGAUCGUAAAACCCUGUUUUUGGGAAAAAAAAUAUGUGUAAGUAACUUUGCCAAUUUUGGCGGGACCUAAUCAAAAAGCCCCGGCUAACUGCGU